ACAAACAGGCCCAGCACAGCUCGGGGCACAAACACAGCCCCGGGUGCUCCCGGCCAACGAGACAAUAAACCGGAGGUGAAAAACGUCACUGGGAAAGUGACACGGUCCCGCAGAAGCACCGGAGACGGCGGCUAUUGUCUGCUGACCGCUACAAUAUGAAAAUCCUGAGGAGCUUCCUGAUUCACCUCCUUUAUUGUUUGUGUCGCCGAAAGGCACGGGCCGAGUGAGGGCCGGGCCCGGGCUGCCCUCGGGCCCGGCAGUGCCCGGCGGUGACAGCGGAAGCGGAGCCGGGGCCGCCCGGGCAGCGGCCGCUCCGUCCUCCCCCGGCACCCCCGGCUCUGCAGGGCCGCGCUGGGGCGAUUCGCUCCCUCCCCGCGCUCCCCGCGGAGCCUCCCCCUCGGCCUCCACCUCCCCGGCCCGCGGCAGGGCCGAGCCGGGUCCGGACCCGCGCCCCGCGGUGUCCCGGCCGGCGGCAGCCCCGGGGGCCGGCGGGGAAGGGGCUCCGGGCCCGUCCGAGCCCCUGCCCCGCGCUCGGCGCUAGGCCCGGCUCGCAGCCCCGGUGCGGCGUGGCCGGGCCCGCCGGCGGCCUUACCGCCUCCACGGCGUGCUGCAGGAUGGAGGUGAACUUGGAGAACAUCCUGUCCCGCGACUGCAGCAGCCGCUGCCGGGAGGACCGCGAGAGCUCCUCGAUGCGCCGCCGCCGCCGCUCCAGGAGAGAAAGAGGCAAAGAUGGGUUUAUUUCACCUCCAAAUCAAAUACUUCAAAGAAAAAGAUCAUCCCUGCCAUUUUCCAGUGCCAUGCAAAAAGCAGAGAUACCGUUUUGGAGCCUGCAUCAUUUCAGAAGAAAAUGUGGAUAUAAGGCACACGUACUUGAUUAGGGUGUCUAAGAGAACAUGAAGAACUUCUUGCAGUCUGGACUUUCACUUCAGAGAAGCUGAAAAUUUGGAAGGUGCAUUUUUGUAUCCUAGGAUGAAAACUUGCAAGUAGAGCUGUGCCCAGUAUCUGUUGAUAUUCUGGAUUUUAUUGUGUUUAUAAUAAUCAGAUUGACAUCUAUGUUUUCAGUGACUACUUGGAUGAAAUAAAGAAUGAAGUUUUAGUGGCUCAGCAUGAUCUCUGCUUUUUAGGAGGGCUAAAGGGAUUGUUAACUUCAUCUUCAUACCUGUCUGAUUCUGGACUUUAUUACAGAAAGCAAGCAUGUUGUGCAUUACAUACUGAAGAGCAAGCACUGGAACUCAGGUCAUUUUCUGCCAUGAAUUUCUGGUUGUCUGUGCUCUCAUCUGUGUGCAUCAGCUCCCUCCUUGCUGAUUUGCUGGCAGCACCAUGUAAUCAGCUCAUGCAGUAUUUCAUAAAUCCCAUUUUCAGGCAUUUCCUGGCAUGUGUAUCCUGCUCCACAUCUGCACAUCUGCUCCUUAUGUGCAGAUAUUCAUUUGUCUUCUGAUGGUUACAAACUUCUUAGUGAUUAAUCUUUUGUCUUAUUGCUUACCUGUCACAUCUGCAAGUGUCUUCUGACACCAACAUUCACCGAUACUGUGGAAGACUCAACACCAGGCAAAUAUUGCCUGCCCAGUAGCUAUUGCUUAUGUUUGUGCUUCAGUUACACUGUCUGUACCCUGAUUUAUCUUAUAUAAUGGCUUGUAAAGGAGACCACGAGGAGGUCAGAAGUACAUGUUAUCAGUGAAAUGAGA